rnacentral:lncRNA from 1 species
GAUCGAGCCGCCCACGUUGGGGAUGCCGGAGAAGACCUCGAAUUCGUUUUUGAUUUGUUGCAUUCUCUUGUCGUCGGGCCAUUGCAGGAAUUUGGGCAUGAGCACGGUGCGGAUGGCGGUGCACACCUCCAGGACUAGUUUGUGGCAGGUGGAGAUGCCGAGCCCGAACCGCUUCGAGACCUCGCGGAGAGCCUCGCCGGUGGCCAGGCGCCAGAUGCAGACGGCCACGCGCUGCCGCACGGGGAUGGCCGUGCGCAGCAUUGUGUCCUUUUUGUUCACGGCGGAAUCGAGCUCGUCGCAGAUCAUGUCGAAGGUGGCCUUGCUCAUCCUGAAUUCCUUCUGGAACUCUUCCUCCGGGUAGUUGGGGCUGUCCACCAGCUCCCACCACGCCUUCGACCGGCUCUUCACCCAGAGGCGCCGCCCGCCGUUCACC